UCUCCUUGGCUACAGGAGCAGAGCAAGACCAGAGAAAAAGAUAAAUGAGUUACAAGGGUAUUGUCAGAUCUAGAAGGACGACAGUGAGUUACACCAAGUAAUGGGUCCAAGAAGAGAAAGUCCACAGAUCCAACAUACAUCCAAGGACUUGUCCAAGCAAAAGACACUCUGCCUGCCAUUCGAACAUCUUUUUUACACCAAAACUAUGGUAUUUCUCCAGAACUGCUUUCGGGAGUCCCCAAUUUGCCAGUAGCAGCAGGUCAAUCUGGUCAUCAGAAACUCUCUGCUUGCAUGGCCCUUUCAGGAAAACGAAAACAAUUUAAUUACCUCCAACAUACAACUUUAAUAGUUAGCCCUCUGCUGUUGGAACUCCUACAUGCUGAAAUGAAACUCAUUGAGAGACAAGAAACUGGUCCUGCACAGAAAAAUACCAGCUAAUUUUUAUUUACUUGAUAUAAUUUUGAAAACUCCUAAGAGUCACAAACAAAAAUGUGUGCUAUACACAAUGAAUAAAGAGUCUGGAACGAUGGGCAGGUGAGAAGACGCUCUAUGAUUGAUCAGAGAGCAUUACAAGUCUGUUAGAGAAGUUUUUGUUUAUAUUUUAGUAUUGAGAUGUCUGCCUAACCAAAGGCAAAGAAUUAUGGGAUGCAUUGGUGCAGGCCUGUAAUCCCAGCAUUUGCGAAGCAGAAGCAGGAUCAAGAGUUCAAGACCCCAGGCCUGCCUGACCUAGGGUAAGCCCUUGUCUCAAAAAAACAA